AACGCACAUUGCGCCCCCUGGUAUUCCGGGGGGCAUGCCUGUCCCAGCUGCAUUUCUGCCCUCAAGCACGGCUUGUGUGUUGGGCCCCGUCCUCCGAUCCCGGGGGACGGGCCCGAAAGGCAGCUGCGACACCGCGUCCGGUCCUCGGGCGUAUGGGGCUUUGUAACCCGCUCUGUAGGCCCGGCAGGCGCUUGCCGAUCAUCCCAAAUUUUUAUCCAGGUUGAGCUCGGAUCAGGUAGGGAUACCCGCUGAACUUAA
rnacentral:misc_RNA from 1 species